UUCAAGAAUCACCUUCCAUGGAAUCUCACCUUUUCCAACAAGAUGUGACCCCAACAUCUUCCUUUGCCUCAGCUCCAACACUAAGCUUUGUUGUUUAAGGUUUUCUAAGAAUUCAUGGGGACACGAACAAUCUAGAUUAAAGGACUCGUUCCAAAAGGGUACUGAUUUGGUUGAAACAUUUUUGGUGUUGAGUUGAAUUCUUUUGUUGUUUCCUGUAGGAAGAUACAACCUUGCAAACAAGUUUUUCGUAGAUUUGAUGGAUUCAGUGUUUCUAGCUUGAAUUAUUCUCACUUCACAGCUGAAGUAAGCAUGGGAUGGAUCCAUUGAAAAUUUGAGAAUAGUAGGAAUGUGUCUAGUUAUGUGUUUUAGCUUGAAAAAUAGAGAGGAAAUUAAGAUGUUUGUUUGAGUUGUUCUAUGCGAUCCAUGUAUUAUAUAGUGUGAAAAAAGUGAAUAGGAAAUGGUUUUCAAUUUCCAUGAUGCGAUCCAUGUAUUGUAUAAGAUUGUCUAGUAUCUCAGUUGUACUUUUUGUGAAUAUUUUAAUACCAACUUAAUCUUAAAUCAUGCACAUGUGAUUUUGCUGAAGAUUGUAUCUUAUUAAAGAAAACCUUUAGAAUCUUGAUGGGGGAAGAUUUUCCAAUUUGGCUCUUGCAAGUCGCAAUAUUUUAUUGUGAAUAAACGAGGUUUCAUUUUUAGUGAACUAAAAGGCUUCAAUGCUGGCCUCAACUAGCCAUCACAAAAGCUAAGGCAUUCUUAUCAAACUCACUAGUUGUAAUAAUGUACAUAAACUAUAAAGCAUUGUUAUUACCAAUAUUUUAUCUUUUUAUAUUUAUUAGACUUGUAUAUCAUUGUGAAUAUAUCCUCACCUUGGAAAAUACUCUCUUCUAUUUUUUUAUUUUUUUCUCCCAUCUCUAUUUUCCUUUACUUUAGAAUAUUUUAAUCUAGUUUUGGUUAAUUUUAAAACACAUUAACCUAACUGAUAAUUUAAUUUGUUUAGCUAACAUAAUUAUCAAUUCUAGAAUCUAAAUUUUAUUAAAUAACAAACACUAUUUUAGCUUUUAAAUUGGAGUAUAAACGAAAGUACAUGUUAAUUAAUGUGUUUUCGACAUGAUUUGUUUUGUGCAUUUCAUAACACGAAGCUACAUUUUAUUUAAAUUAUUUAAUAUUAGUUUUAUUAAUGUAGUUGAUGUAAUUCUAUCAUAAAAAAAAAUUAUGUAAUUGUUUUAAUUGUAUAAAAAAAAUUAGGGAUUAUUUACUUUGUGAAAAUAAUUUCAAUUUUUAUUUUUAGAAAUUUGUGUUAAUUUUAUUUGUUAAUACGGAGAUAACAGAUUUUUGAAGUGAACAAUCGUCUACAUUUUUAGAAACAUUAAAGAUGUCAAAAAAAUUAUUUUUAUUAUUUUCUUAAACACAUAUUCAUUAACUAGAGUUUUAUAUUCUCUUCUUGACAAUAGUUAAUUUCAAGAGUCUUUCAUCAAGACAAAAUAAACACAUAUUUAAGAAAAUAAAAACACAAAAUAUUUUCAUAGAAUAAACGGGACCAUAGCGAUUGAAUUUUUUAUUUUUAGAUUUUUAAAAGCAAGUGUCUUAAUUUUUUUAAAUGUCCACCUAAUUGAGUCUAACUAAGUGAACAUAAUUUUCAUCAAUUUGAUUUGAAUUGUGUGGAAAAAUUAUAAAAGUUGAACCAUGAUCGGCUAACUUUUUGGUUCAUAUUUUAUUCUUUUCAAAAAAUGAAUCAAAUUGAUAUGUUACAUGCAUAACACCAUUCUCUCAAAUUUGUGAUGAUUCUCGGUCAAAUUCUCUCUGCAUGUGUCAUUGCAUUUGCGAAUUUUGUCUAUUUUUACGUUAAAAAUUUAUAACUUAAAAUUUUAAUAUACAAUAAAAUAUUAUAUUUAAUUUAUCAAUUAAUUUUAAAAUUUAGUCACUGCUAAAAUAUUAAGAUAUAUAUUUUUAAAUGAUUUUUCGCAUACAUAUUUACAAUAUAAAAAGUUUUUUCAUAAAAAAGUAAACUUCAAAUUUAUAUUUUUGUUAUUUUUAUUUUCAAAUUAUAUCAUUUAAAAUAUUUAAAUUUAUUUAAUUUAAAAUAAAAAAUAAAUUAAAUUUUGAUGGAGCAAUAAAAUGAUAAAAAUUUACGGUACUAAUUUUUGUUUUUACGACUAGAAACAAAAUAGAAGAGUGGUGUGAAAAAGAUUAGAUGAGAAGAGAGAUUUGAAAUGUAUUUUUCAAUUCAAAAAUGGAUCCGUAGCAUUUAUGUAUCUAUCUAUCUAUCUCCCACGCCUAAACAUUCACAUUCUAUUUCUAUUCAUUCAUUCAUUCACACACAAAAUGCCAGGAAGUACGCCGGUGAGAAAGCCACACACUAACACCUCCGAUCUCCUCACUUGGUCCGAAGUCCCUCCGCCUGAAUCCUCCUUCACCCCCUCCUCCACCCGCUCUCGCCAGGUUACUAUUUUUUCUUUUUCUCAUCUCUCUCUCUCUCUCUCUCUCUCUCUCAUGUAACUAACUACAUUCUCUCUCUCUCUUUCAAUCAUUCACUUCAUUCAUAUUACAGCCUUCUGAUAGAAUCAGUAAGGUUCUCAAUAGCGACCAGCUCACCGAAGAAGAAGCUCAGACUCUCACCCAAAGGUCUACAUCAUUUCCUAAAUAUUAACUCAUAACUCAGAUCAGAUCUUCUACUUUUUUCUUUCUUCACUUUCCUUUUUUUCAUCGUUCUUCGAUCUGAUUUAAUAUCUCUAUACUUUUCUGCAUAGAUCUGUUUCUUUAUUUGUAAUUCCAAGUAAUCUCAACAACACUGUGUUAGUAAUAUUAGAUAAAACUUUUUGCAUGAACUGUUCAAAUGAACCUACAUCAGCUUCCACAUUUUUGUUAUUAGUCUAUAUAUAUUUAUUAAAAAAAUAUAUGUACUUCUGCAUAAUUGAGCGCGUUGUACAUUAAUUUUUUGUUAUUGAUGUUAUUCAUGGGGUUUAUGUGUUCAAAUGAACAAAAAAAAUGUAUUUCAUUCAUAGUUGAUAGGUAUGAUACUUCCUUAAACCAUAUAUACAGUUCCAACAUAAAGAAUUAGAAUCUAAUGCGCUUGCAAAGUCAUUUUAGAGUAAAAACAGAUAAUUAAAGGAACCUCUAAUCAUAUACAUAUAGAAUCAAUUGUCCACUGUUCAUAAAUAAUAAUCAAAUUAAUUAGUUGAUGUUAGUGCAUAUACAUUUAUAUGGCAUAUUAAUCUUGCAUCAAGUUAAAUCAAAAAGCCUCCAAAGCUGCACCAAAUGCAAAUAUAUUACAAUCUUCAGCACAACACCAAACAUUGGGAUCAUGUCCAUGUUUGCAUCCACACUCAUUCCAAUUAUUCAACAUCUUUCUAUUCUGCUUCUCCAUCUCAAUAAUCGAAGCCACUCUUAUUUUAAUUUCCACUUCAACUUCAGGUGCUUUCAACAUACCCUCUUUGCAAUCACUUCCACUCACCAAAUCCAUCUUCAACCAUUUUUUCAAUUCCAUGUUUUGUGAUUCAAGAAUCACCUUCCAUGGAAUCUCACCUUUUCCCACAAGAUGUGACCCCAACAUCUUCCUUUGCCUCAGCUCCAACACUAAGCUUUGUUGUUUAAGGUUUUCUAGGAAUUCAUGGGGACACGAACAAUCUAGAUUAAAGGACUCGUUCCAAAAGGGUACUGAUUUGGUUGAAACAUUUUUGGUGUUGAGUUGAAUU
rnacentral:lncRNA from 1 species